rnacentral:rRNA from 1 species
UACGUAGGGACCAAGCGUUGUUCGGAUUUACUGGGCGUAAAGGGCGCGUAGGCGGCAAUUCAAGUCAGCUGUGAAAUCUCCGGGCUUAACUCGGAACGGUCAGCUGAUACUGCUUUGCUAGAGUGCAGAAGGGGCAAUCGGAAUUCUUGGUGUAGCGGUGAAAUGCGUAGAUAUCAAAGAGGAACACCUGAGGUGAAGACGGGUUGCUGGGCUGACACUGACGCUGAGGCGCGAAAGCUAGGGUAGCAAACGGG